GAAUUCAUUUUAUUGAAUGAUUAAUAAAGUGAUUUUAUUAAUGAAUGAAUAAAAUGUAUAUAAAAUGAAUGAAUAAAAUGUAUAUAUAAAUAUAUUUAUAUUUAUUUUUAAAGAAUUUUUGGCUAAUUUUUUGCUAAUUUUAUUUUUAUUAUUAUUAUUUUUUUUGUAACGGACUCUCUGUCUGUGCCCAGGCUGGAGUGCAGUGGUGCGAUCUCGGCUCACUGCAACCUCCGUCUCCUGGGUUCGAG
rnacentral:lncRNA from 10 species